UUCUUUUUCCCGAUUCAAGUAAACAUAAAGUGCAUUUGAGGUGGUUACCACUUCUCGAAGACUUUGACGUGUGUGGGACAUUAUCCUGGGGUAGUGCUGUUUUAGCAUAUCUAUAUCGAGAAAUGUCAAAGGUUGCUUUAAUGCAAAAUAAA